UAAGAAACUGAACUUGCCGACUAUCUAGGAGGUUUUGAAUUCAAAAUUGUUAUCUACGAGUUAAGGAGAUAGAGUGUUCUUAAUUGUACUGGUUGGUACUCAUAACUGAAAUAAUGAUAAAGAGGUAUAUGUUUGGUGAUUCUCAAGUGCAUGGUCAUAUAAUUUGAUUUAUAACUUGUAUAUGGUACCUGCUAUCAUCAACUAUAUGCUUGACCAUGGGCUGAUUUGAUGCUUGUUAUCUUAGCUCUGAACUAAUGAAAUGAAAUUGAGCUUACCUCAGGGUGUUCUGAUCACACAUGCGCUUCUGUCAAUCAGGCUAUGUGCUUGCAAUAAUGUUUAUUUCAUUGUAAUGUUUUUCAUAUCUGUUCAUCUGGUGAUGCAGGAAGAACAAAAUUUGCCUAGUGUUUCGUCUGUAAUGGGACUGGCCACCUGAGCAAGCACUGUCCUGAAAACUCAUGGGAUAUCCGAAGGGUGGUUCUUGUAAAAUAUGUGGAUGUGUAACACAUUUGGCACGAGACUAUCCUGACAAGGGCUGCAGAAAUUCAAUGGGUGCUGCUGGCAUUUAUAAAUCCAAAUGGGAAUGAACCAAGAGGAAAGCUUACCAAAUUUACGAGUGGAGAUGAUCUGGAGGAUGAUUUCAAUUUCAUAGGUGAGAAGAGGAGCCGGUUGUUGUAGUUGGUUCUGUUCCUCUUCCACAAGAGAGUAAUGUAAAAUCAAAG